GAGCGAACGCUGGCGGCGUACUUAACACAUGCAAGUCGAACGGGGAUCGACACGUGAGCAAUCACGUGGCGGUCUUAAGUGGCGUACGGGUCGAGUAACACGUGGGCAACCUGCCCUUGAGUCUGGGAUAACCUCCCGAAAGGGAGGCUAAUACCGGAUACGGUCCUCGGGUCGCGAGGAUCUGAGGAAGAAAGGUGGCGCAAGCUACCGCUCUUGGAGGGACUCGCGGCCUA
rnacentral:rRNA from 1 species